rnacentral:lncRNA from 1 species
CCAAGUCCGAGUCGUCGCCUCCCACUACAUCUCGCUCCCCUUCUCCGCCACCGCCGCCGCCAAAGUCCGAGUCGUCGCCUUCCGCCACAUCUCACCCACCUCCUCCUCCGCCACCUGGGUCCGAGUCGUCACCUUCCCCGACACCUCAUCCCCCUACUCCGCCACCACCGGAGUCCCAGUCGUCGCCAUCCACGAAAACCCACCCCCCUCCGUCCCAUUCGCCACGUCUGCUGCCUCCUUACUCCCCCGAACCAUCGCCACCGAGUU